AGAGUUUGAUCCUGGCUCAGGACGAACGCUGGCGGCGUGCCUAAUACAUGCAAGUCGAACGCUUCUUUUUCCACCGGAGCUUGCUCCACCGGAAAAAGAGGAGUGGCGAACGGGUGAGUAACACGUGGGUAACCUGCCCAUCAGAAGGGGAUAACACUUGGAAACAGGUGCUAAUACCGUAUAACAAUCGAAACCGCAUGGUUUUGAUUUGAAAGGCGCUUUCGGGUGUCGCUGAUGGAUGGACCCGCGGUGCAUUAGCUAGUUGGUGAGGUAACGGCUCACCAAGGCGACGAUGCAUAGCCGACCUGAGAGGGUGAUCGGCCACAUUGGGACUGAGACACGGCCCAAACUCCUACGGGAGGCAGCAGUAGGGAAUCUUCGGCAAUGGACGAAAGUCUGACCGAGCAACGCCGCGUGAGUGAAGAAGGUUUUCGGAUCGUAAAACUCUGUUGUUAGAGAAGAACAAGGAUGAGAGUAACUGUUCAUCCCUUGACGGUAUCUAACCAGAAAGCCACGGCUAACUACGUGCCAGCAGCCGCGGUAAUACGUAGGUGGCAAGCGUUGUCCGGAUUUAUUGGGCGUAAAGCGAGCGCAGGCGGUUUCUUAAGUCUGAUGUGAAAGCCCCCGGCUCAACCGGGGAGGGUCAUUGGAAACUGGGAGAUUUGAGUGCAGAAGAGGAGAGUGGAAUUCCAUGUGUAGCGGUGAAAUGCGUAGAUAUAUGGAGGAACACCAGUGGCGAAGGCGGCUCUCUGGUCUGUAACUGACGCUGAGGCUCGAAAGCGUGGGGAGCAAACAGGAUUAGAUACCCUGGUAGUCCACGCCGUAAACGAUGAGUGCUAAGUGUUGGAGGGUUUCCGCCCUUCAGUGCUGCAGCUAACGCAUUAAGCACUCCGCCUGGGGAGUACGACCGCAAGGUUGAAACUCAAAGGAAUUGACGGGGGCCCGCACAAGCGGUGGAGCAUGUGGUUUAAUUCGAAGCAACGCGAAGAACCUUACCAGGUCUUGACAUCCUUUGACCACUCUAGAGAUAGAGCUUCCCCUUCGGGGGCAAAGUGACAGGUGGUGCAUGGUUGUCGUCAGCUCGUGUCGUGAGAUGUUGGGUUAAGUCCCGCAACGAGCGCAACCCUUAUUGUUAGUUGCCAUCAUUUAGUUGGGCACUCUAGCAAGACUGCCGGUGACAAACCGGAGGAAGGUGGGGAUGACGUCAAAUCAUCAUGCCCCUUAUGACCUGGGCUACACACGUGCUACAAUGGGAAGUACAACGAGUCGCAAAGUCGCGAGGCUAAGCUAAUCUCUUAAAGCUUCUCUCAGUUCGGAUUGUAGGCUGCAACUCGCCUACAUGAAGCCGGAAUCGCUAGUAAUCGCGGAUCAGCACGCCGCGGUGAAUACGUUCCCGGGCCUUGUACACACCGCCCGUCACACCACGAGAGUUUGUAACACCCGAAGUCGGUGAGGUAACCUUUUGGAGCCAGCCGCCUAAGGUGGGAUAGAUGAUUGGGGUGAAGUCGUAACAAGGUAGCCGUAUCGGAAGGUGCGGCUGGAUCACCU
rnacentral:rRNA from 1 species